ACUUAACUUAUUGUCCUCAAUUCGAUCCUCUUCUAGCUCCAAGUGUCUUAUGACAUCGUCAAGAGAUCUAAUGUCUUCAUUAUGGGUUAGGUGGAUCUUCAUAUGUUCUGAACUUUGGGGCAAGGGACGAAUGACAGCUUGGACCUGUUGUUCAUUAGUAAGAAUAUGAUCAACAGUUUUUAGCUCAUUUAUCAUAUCUACAUUUUCCUUAUAUGUUUUUUCAUUGUAUGAUCAGGGCGUAUCUGUAAGUGUUAAACUUAAUAAUAAGUGACCGAAGUUUGG
rnacentral:lncRNA from 1 species